CCCUUAGAUGUUCUGGGCCGCACGCGCGCUACACUGAUGCAUUCAACGAGCACCCGCUGGGCCGAGAGGUCCGGCUAAUCUUUGAACGUGCAUCGUGCUGGGGAUAGAUGAUUGCAAUUAUUCAUCUUCAACGAGGAAUUCCUAGUAAACGCAAGUCAUCAGCUUGCAUUGAUUACGUCCCUGCCCUUUGUACACACCGCCCGUCGCACCUACCGAUUGAAUGGUCCGGUGAAAUUCUCGGACGCGGACUUGCGAUGUUAAUUCGGAGCUCGACUGUGAAAGUUAAUUAAACCUUACCAUUUAGAGGAAGGUGAAGUCGUAACA
rnacentral:rRNA from 1 species